UACGAAGGGUGCAAGCGUUAAUCGGAAUUACUGGGCGUAAAGCGCGCGUAGGCGGUUUGAUAAGUGUGAUGUGAAAGCCCCGGGCUCAACCUGGGAACUGCAUCCCAUACUGUCAGGCUAGAGUACGGUAGAGGGGGGUAGAAUUCCACGUGUAGCGGUGAAAUGCGUAGAGAUGUGGAGGAAUACCAGUGGCGAAGGCGGCCCCCUGGAUCGAUACUGACGCUGAGGUGCGAAAGCGUGGGGAGCAAACAGG
rnacentral:rRNA from 1 species